AAAAUAUUCCAUCUGUAGUAAAUUACUUGUCGUAGAAAUGGAUAACAAUGGAUGUAUCUAGAACUGAAAUACGUCUAUAUACAUCGAUUUCUGCGACAAGUAAUUUCAAAUGGAUGGAGUAUCGU
rnacentral:pre_miRNA from 1 species